rnacentral:pre_miRNA from 1 species
UAUAUAUGUGUGUGUCGGUAUGUAUGUAUGUAUGUAUGUACAAUUCUGGAUACAUACAUACAUACAUACCGACACACACAUAUAUA